rnacentral:rRNA from 1 species
CCCUUAGAUGUUCUGGGCCGCACGCGCGCUACACUGACGAUGGCAACGAGUUUUUCCUUCGCCGAAAGGUGUGGGUAAUCUUUUGAAACAUCGUCGUGCUGGGGAUAGAUCAUUGCAAUUUUUGAUCUUGAACGAGGAAUUCCUAGUAAGCGCGAGUCAUCAGCUCGCGUUGAUUACGUCCCUGCCAUUUGUACACACCGCCCGUCGCUACUACCGAUUGAAUGGUUUAGUGAGGACUCCUGAUUGGCGCCGCCGCCCCGGCAACGGAGCAGCGGACUGCCGAAAAGUUGUUCAAACUUGAUCAUUUAGAGGAAGUAAAAGUCGUAACA